GGGGAUGAUCGGUUUCGACAUCGUCUGUGAACCUGCGAGAAGCGGGCCGAGAAUGCGGAGUCAACUCGUUAAUGUCCUCCGCAAACUAUAAGUGCCGAUAACAACAGCACUGUCUCGGCCAAGAAGGCCGACUUCGCCCUCGCGGCGUAAGUCCCUCUUCUAGGACAUUGAGACCGUCGGACCGGGAAUGCCUCGUACCCGGUUUCCGGCGUCAUCUACGAGGCUUGCUGCGCGACUGAGCCUCAGGGUCGCGCGGGACUCUUCCUGAGACUGGGCUCGUCGGUCGCGUUGCCAAUGACAACGACCGGGGCCGAGUAGAACGCACCAUUGGCUGCACCCGGAGAAGGCGCAGACUCUCAGCGAUGGACGGGGGUUCGAUUCCCCCCAUCUCCACCA
rnacentral:tmRNA from 1 species